rnacentral:rRNA from 1 species
CGCGUAGGCGGUUAGUUAAGUCAGCUGUGAAAUUCCGUGGCUCAACCACGGAGCUGCAUUUGAAACUAAUUAGCUAGAGAACAGUUAGGGUAAACGGAAUUCCACGUGUAGCGGUGAAAUGCGUAGAUAUGUGGAAGAACACCGGUGGUGAAGACGGUUUACUGGGCUGUUACUGACGCUGAGGCGCGAAAGCAUGGGGAGCAAACA